rnacentral:rRNA from 1 species
CCUACGGGAGGCAGCAGUGGGGAAUUUUGGACAAUGGGGGAAACCCUGACGCAGCGACGCCCCGUGAGUGAUGAAGGCCUUCGGGUCGUAAAGCUCUGUCAGAUGGGAAGAAGGCAAUUAAAUGUAUAAUUUAAUUGCUUGACGGUACCAUCAGAGGAAGCAUCGGCUAACUCCGUGCCAGCAGCCGCGGUAAGACGGAGGAUGCAAGCGUUGUUCGGAAUUACUGGGCGUAAAGGGCGUGUAGGUGGCUUAAUAAGUCGGAGGUGAAAGCCCUUGGCUCAACCAAGGAAGUGCAUUCGAAACUAUUAGGCUUGAGUACAGGAGAGAAAGGUGAAAUUCCCGGUGUAGAGGUGAAAUUCGUAGAUAUCGGGAGGAAUACCAGUGGCGAAGGCGGCCUUUUGGCCUGUUACUGACACUGAGGCGCGAAAGCGUGGGGAGCAAACAGGAUUAGAUCCCCGGGUAGU